CGGCGGGACGGGGUGGAGUAACGCGUGGGUAACCUGCCUCAUACAGGGGGAUAACAGUUAGAAAUGACUGCUAAUACCGCAUAAGACCACAGCACCGCAUGGUGCGGGGGUAAAAACUCCGGUGGUAUGAGAUGGACCCGCGUCUGAUUAGCUAGUUGGUAAGGUAACGGCUUACCAAGGCGACGAUCAGUAGCCGACCUGAGAGGGUGACCGGCCACAUUGGGACUGAGACACGGCCCAA
rnacentral:rRNA from 1 species